rnacentral:tRNA from 17 species
GCCUCCGUAGCUCAGGGGAUAGAGCGUCUGCCUCCGGAGCAGAAGGCCGCAGGUUCGAAUCCUGCCGGGGGCA